CGCUAGCACUUCCUCCCUCCCGGAGUCCCCGUGUCAUGCCUCUCCCGGUAGCACCGUACUGCUGGGUAUGAAGAGGUUGUCUGUGCUGCUGGUGGACUGCAGGAAAACAACGGGGCUGAGUGGAACUGUGAGAGGAGGAGAAGAGAAGAAAGGAUCAGAUUUGACACAUCAAAGAGAAAGACCAGACUCAGAGGAACCAGAGCCAGGGACUUCCAAACCAGCAAGACGACACCAGUGCUCCCACUGUGGAAAGGCUUGUAACCACUUAUGGGAGCUGAAACAACAUGAGAGAAUACACACAGGGGAGAAGCCCUACCACUGUUCCGAGUGUGGAAAGAAUUUUAGCCAUAAAGGAAACCUGAACCAACAUGAGAGAAUACACACAGGGGAGAAGCCUUACCACUGCUUCCAGUGUGGAAAGAAGUUUAACCUGUUAGGGUCCCUGAAACGACAUGAGCGAUUACACACAGGGGAGAAGCCAUACCACUGUUCCCAGUGUGGAAAGGGUUGUAACCUCUUGUGGGAGCUUAAACAACAUGAGAGAAUACACACAGGGGAGAAGCCUUACCACUGCUCGCAUUGUGGAAAGAGUUUUAACCUCUACAGAGUACCUAACCCGGAUCCGGGAGCACCCCCCACACCCCCCACACUGAUUAGCAUCGCUAGCAUAGCGUCACAAUUAAAUAGUAGCAUCUAAAUAUCAUUAAAUCACAAGUCCAAGACACCCAAUGAAAGACACAGAUCUUGUGAAUAAAACCACCAUUUCAGAUUUUUUAAAUGUUUUACAGGGAAGACACAAUAUGUAAAUCUAUUAGCUAAACACGUUAGCAAAAUGACACCAUUUUCUUACUCCAACAGUUUCUUACUCCAUCAGGUGCUAUCACCAAUUCGGCUAAACUAAGAUAUUGAUAGCCACUAACCAACAAAAAAAUUCUUAAGAUGACAGUCUGAUAACAUAUUUAUGGUAUAGCAUAGUUUUUUUUUUUUAAAUGUGCAUUUUUCAGGUAUAAAUCACAGUUCUACAUUGCAGCUGCAAUCUGAUAUAGUGCUGAUGCAGCUAGAACAAUUACAGAGACCAACGUUAUAUAACUAAUUACUUGUCUUAAAACAUUUCAGAAAAAAUACACAGCGUACAGACAUUGAAAGCCCAACAUCUGGUGAAUCCAAACAAUAUUUCAGAUUUUUUAAAUGUUUUAUAGCGAAAACAAAAUGUAGCGCUAAUUAGCAUAACCAGGCCAGCCAGAACCAGCUGGACGCGCGCGACCAGUUCACAUGCACGACAGAUAUAUGAAAUAACAUCGUAAAUUGGGUCUUACUAUUGCUGGUCUUUCAUCAGAAUGUUGAUCAAGGUGUCCUUAGUCCUGAUGAGUCGUUCAAUCCAUUCACAAUGGCAACCUCCCCUCUUCAUUUAGCCUGGGUACUGGUCGACUAGCACGGCUCUGUCCAAAGUUAAAAAACUCAAAGAACGGAACACGGCAAAACUCCCGAAAAAAUUCUAAUAAUCUGAUUAAACUAUAUUGAAAAAACAUACAUUACGGUGAUAUGGUCACAUGUUUCAAACAAACUUCGACACGGAGAUAGUUUUCAUCCAUAACGUCAGCAUAACAAAAGUCAAUGGCUUCUCUAAACGCGCAUCUCAGGAAACCGGAAGUUGUCGGUCACGCUAAAGAAAUAGGUCUUAUUUCACGUCAGUACAAGAUAAACAAAACAUUUCUCCUCUGACGUCUUCCAGACACCCAGAGGAAGAAGAAGGAAGUGUGAUUCGGGUCAUAGGUCGCGUGACCAUAUAUAGGCAGAGCUUUGAAGCGAGCAUACACAUCUUGCAAUUUUCUUCUGGCUCAGGGAAAGUGCUGUGAAAUGACCUGUGUUUGACUCAGAGACUCAAUUGGAACGGUUUUAGAAACCAUAGCUUGUUUUCUAUCCAAUGCUAUAUGGUUAUAUGCAUAUAGUAACAGCAAUAAUUGAAAAAGAGGCAGUUUAAUCUGUAGAGGCAAUUAUGCUAAUGCGAAACAGCACCCCCUGUAUUCUCAAGAAGUUAACCAGAAAGGACACAUGAAAGCUCAUGAGAGAAUACACACAGGGGAGAAGCCUUACCAGUGCUCCCAGUGUGGAAAGAGUUUUAACCAGUUAGGGGCCGUGAAACAACAUGAGAGAAUACACACAGGGGAGAAGCCUUACCAGUGCUCCCAGUGUGGAAAGAGUUUUAACAAGUUAAGGAACCUGAAAGUUCAUGAGAUAAUACACACAGGGGAGAAGACUUACCAGUGCUCCCAUUGUGGCAAGUGUUUUAACCAGUUAGGGGCCGUGAAACAACAUGAGAGAAUACACACAGGGGAGAAGCCUUACCACUGCUCCCAGUGUGGAAAGUGUUUCAACUGGUCAGGCGAUCUGAGAAAACAUGAGAGAUUACACACAGGGGAGAAGCCUAACACUGCUCCCAUUGUGGAAGGAGUUUUAACCAGAAAAGCACCCUGAACCAACAUGAGAUAAUACACAAAGGGGAGAAGCCUUACCAUUCCUCCCAGGGUGCAAAGCUUUUGCCCAUUUAGGAAGCCUGAAAGAACACAUGAGACUGCACACAGAGGAGAAGGCUUACAAAAGCUCAGACUGCGGGAAAACAUAUUACUCAUCAUAGUCACUAAAACGUCAUAAGAGAAUCUACACAGGAGAGAGAAAUUACUUCUCUUAGCGUGUAUAUUGAUAUUUCACAUCUCAUUGACUUAAAAUUCAUCAGAGAACAUACACAGUGCUCCCGUUAACUGAUAUUGUUGACUGAUAAUGUGUUUACCUGUUUUUACCAUAUGAAAUUGCUUCUUCCAAUUAUUGAUAAACAUGAACCUGUUAAGAAACUGACUGUUAGGUAUGUUAGGGCUCCAUGGAUUGAUGAGGAGUUUAAUAACUGUAUGUUUGAAAGAGAUAGGGCAAAAGGAGUGGCUAAUAAGUCUGGAUGCACAUCUGUACUGCAAAUUGAGAAAUUAUGUGACCAAACUCAACAAAAAGAAUAAACUUUAUUAUGAAGCCAAGAUAAAUGAUAUAAAGAAUGAUAGGAAAAAAACUUGGGGGAAAAAACAAAAUGAAAGAAAAGCAGUGCAAGUAUUGAAUUUUGUCAAGUUAGUGUGGGAGAGGUGGAUAAAUUGUUAUCGAUCAAUAAUGACAAACCUGGCAUUGACAACAGAUGGAAAGCUACUGAGGACAGUAGCUGACUCUAUAGCCUCUCCUAUCUGUCAUAUUUUUAAUCUGAGCCUGAAGGAAAGUCUUUGUCCUCAGGCCUGGAGGGAAGCCAAAGUAAUUCCACUACCCAGGAGUGGUAAAGCGGCCUUUACUGGUUCUAACAGCAGACCUAUAAGCUUGCUGCCAGCUCUUAGCAAACUGUUGGAAAAAAAUGUGUUUCACCAAAUAAAAUGCUAUUUCUCUGUAAACAAAUUAACAACAAACUUUCAGCAUGCUUAUAGAGAAGGACACUCAACAUGUACUGACUGACACAAAUGACUGAUGAUUGGUUGAGAGAAAUUGAUAACAAGAAGAUUGUGGGAGCUGUACUGUUAGAUUUCAGUGCAGCCUUUGAUAUUAUUGACCAAAACCUGUUGUUGAAAAAACGUAUAUGCUAUGGCUUUUCAACCUAUCUAACAUAACUCAAAGGGUUUUUAAUGGAAGCUUCUUUAAUGUCAAACAUGUAAAGUACCGCAGGGCAGCUCUCUAGGUCCUCUACUCUUUUCUAUUUUUACCAAUGGCCUGCCACUGGCAUUAAACAAAGCAUGUGUGUCCAUGUAUGCUGAUGAUUCAACCAUAUACGCAUCAGCAACCACAGCUAAUGAUGUCACUGAAACACUUAACAAAGAUUUGCAGUCUGUUUUGGAAUGGGUGGCCAGUAAUAAACUGGUCCUGAACAUCUCUAAAACUAAGAGCAUUGUAUUUGGUACAAAUCAUUCCUUAAGUUAUAGACCUCCGCUGAAUCUGGUAAUGAAUUGUGUGGCUGUUGAACAAGUUGAGGAGACUAAAUUACUUGGCAUUACCUUAGAUUGUAAACUGUCAUGGUCAAAACAUAUAGAUUCAGUGGUUGUAAAGAUGGGGAGAGGUCUAGCCUCAAAGAGAUGGUCUGCUUUUUUGACAUCACACUCCAAAAGCAAGUUCUGCAGGCUCUAGUUUUGUCUAAUCUUGAUUAUUGUCCAGUCGUGUGGUCCAGUGCUGCAAGGAAAGACCUAGUAAAGCUGCAACUGGCCCAGAACAGAGCGGCACGUUUUGCUCUUAAUUGUAAUCAGAAGACUGAUAUAAAUACUAUGAAUGCCAGUCUCUCUUGGCUAAGAGUUGAGGAGAGACAGACUUGAAUUGAAACAGACUUGAAAAUUACAUUACAUUAAUUAAUUACAUUCAUUACAGACUUGAAAGACAGACUUGAAACCAUGAAUUGAAUAUGGAGUUUGAAUAUAGAGUAGGUCAGAUUCCUUCUGUUUUAAAUGGUCCUUUUUUAAACUCUGAUACUGUGUGUUUAUCUGUGUGUCAUUCCUCCAGCACUACAGAUAAUCAAGUGUUAUUUGGAUGUGAUGCAUUUGUUCCGUUGUUUACAUUUGCAAUGUUGGCCCACUGAUGAUUUAAUGAAAUGAAAAUGUUCACAGACUCUGUAAUGCAAAAUGUUAAUUGUAUGUGUCCACGUAUCUGAGUAUGUGACUUGUGGUGGAUGAAUCAGAAUUAGUUGGGUAACAUAGAUAAUUAAGAUGUCUUAUCUGCUAAUAUGCUGAUGUGAUAUACUUGUUAUUAGAAUGUAUCCCUUCGGACUCUGGUGAUGGCAGUUGCACUUCUUCCCUCAGCUGGGGCUCAGUCAUCUGGGAACCAGAGAGGGGAGAGGUCAGGCUUGUCUUUCACAUGUCCCUGGUGCUAUGCAGAAUAUCAGGAAGGGAAGAGGACAGGAGGGAACAUUGUCUUCAUAUGUAAAUGUAUCUGUUAAACUUUGUGAAGGGAUGGUGUGAGUAAUGGGGAACCAAUUACUGGUUUCCACAAUGUCUGUGCGCAAGUCACUCCCUCCUUUGGCAUUGGGGGGAGGUGUAUGGCAGUGUCUGGAACCAUUGUAUGUCCUCUCUGAUGUUGCACUUAUCCUGGGAUAGUGUAUGACCUAGAGGCUCACUCCCCUCUGUGAGCUUGUCCAGGAGUGGGGUCAAGAAGGGGUUUUACUUGAGAUGGGAGUAUCUAGAGUUGACAAUUGAGUUAUGCCAUUGGAUGAGUUGGUGUUUUUGUGCUAUGAAGUACCAGGAACGAGAUUAGAAUCUCGUUUUAGGGACCAAACUGAAUGAUAAUUUAUAGCGAAUGCUAUCUGGCUACGGGAUACUCCUUUCUCAUUAUAAAGUCUCACUUUGUGAACUGUUCCUAAUAUCUGUGGUUUGUUAUGUCGACUAGGGGGUGGAUCUUUGCUAUAAAAGAUCUCAGUAGCCAUUGUGUUGCCACUCUCAACGGUUCAUUAGAAAUAGUGAAUUGUUGAAAGUCAUUGCAAAGAUCUUAUUAUUAAAGAUGUAGUUUAAGUAUAACUCUGAUUGGUGUGUGAACUUUGCCUCUCCUCAUUUGGUAAUACAGAAAUUAACCACCACAGACUAACCUUGUGAAACUGUCCUAUAAUAAUCUCCUGUUCCUGGGAGUAUCAUCCUGUGUUGCAAACCAGCUGCACCUGUGUCCUUGUAUGAAUAAAGUCCCGCCCAGGAACAGGAAACUAUAAAGAUAUGUGCUCAUCACCCAAUGCUUCAGGAAUUCAGACUGUAUACACUGUGCUGUGUAACUGUUAUUCUCUCUGAGCUCAGAAAUAAAGAAUCUUGGUUUGA